UGUGUCCAGACGUUUGACUGGUACUGUAUAUAUCUGAUUACAUCAGAUUGACAGCAGACCUAGAGGCAUCCCAGAAUCAUAUUCUGAUGUAUGCCAGCAAGCCCUACACUUUCAUUCUCACAGUUUAUAAGGCAGGAGUUCUGCUUGCUGCUCUAAACUAAAAUUUACACUGGAACAGACCAACAACCAAAAGAGCUGAAGGCAAAGAAAUAUACAGAUUGUAAAGAGGAGAAUCACAAGUGGAGUGGGGGAUGCCUCGAAGGUGAAGCCUUCCAUCAGGUGACCCCAGAGGAUUCCGUUUGGCCUCCAUACCUGCAGUAGCCUCAUCACAAUUGCUGCAGACACAAGUCAGAAAAGGUUCUUGGACCUCCUCUCCCCACACUGACAAGUCGGGUCCGUCACCACAUGAUAUUCCGAGACCCCAUGAUUUACAAAUUAAGCACUGGACGGUACAGACCAGUGAGGGCCACCAGGAAUGUGUGUGGAACUUGUU